rnacentral:rRNA from 1 species
UACAGAGGCCACGAGCGUUAGGCGGAAUCACUGGGCGUAAAGCGCACGUAGGCGGCUUUUUAAGUCAGAGGUGAAAUCCUGGAGCUCAACUCCAGAACUGCCUUUGAUACUGAGAGGCUUGAGUCCGGGAGAGGUGAGUGGAACUGCGAGUGUAGAGGUGAAAUUCGUAGAUAUUCGCAAGAACACCAGUGGCGAAGGCGGCUCACUGGCCCGGUACUGACGCUGAGGUGCGAAAGCGUGGGGAGCAAACAGG